AUCUAUUCAGAGACACUUGAUAAAAUUGGAACAAUAAAGAGAGGAUUGGCAAGCCCCCUACGCAAGCAUGACAUUCACAAAUCAAGAAAAGGUUUAUAUGUUG